rnacentral:rRNA from 1 species
AAAAGAAGCUUGCUUCUUUUUGAAUCUAGUGGCAAACGGGUGAGUAACACGUAAACAACCUGCCUUCAGGAUGGGGACAACAGACGGAAACGACUGCUAAUACCGAAUGUGUUCCGGAGACCGCAUGAUUUCCGGAAGAAAGGAUGGCCUCUAUUUAUAAGCUAUCGCCUGAAGAGGGGUUUGCGUCUGAUUAGGCAGUUGGUGAGGUAACGGCCCACCAAGCCUACGAUCAGUAGCCGGUCUGAGAGGAUGAACGGCCACACUGGAACUGAGACACGGUCCAGACUCCUACGGGAGGCAGCAGUGGGGAAUCUUCCGCAAUGGACGAAAGUCUGACGGAGCAACGCCGCGUGAGUGAUGACGGCCUUCGGGUUGUAAAGCUCUGUGAUCGGGGACGAAUGGCUGGUGCGUUAAUACCGCAUCAGAGUGACGGUACCCGAAUAGCAAGCCACGGCUAACUACGUGCCAGCAGCCGCGGUAAUACGUAGGUGGCAAGCGUUGUCCGGAAUUAUUGGGCGUAAAGCGCGCGCAGGCGGCUUCUUAAGUCCAUCUUAAAAGUGCGGGGCUUAACCCCGUGAUGGGAUGGAAACUGGGAGGCUGGAGUAUCGGAGAGGAAAGUGGAAUUCCUAGUGUAGCGGUGAAAUGCGUAGAGAUUAGGAAGAACACCGGUGGCGAAGGCGACUUUCUGGAC